AACGCGAAGAACCUUACCUGGGUUUGACAUGUGCCUGACCGCCGUGGAAACACGGUUUCCCUUCGGGGCAGGUUCACAGGUGGUGCAUGGCUGUCGUCAGCUCGUGUCGUGAGAUGUUGGGUUAAGUCCCGCAACGAGCGCAACCCCCGUCGCAUGUUGCCAGCAUUUAGUUGGGGACUCAUGCGAGACUGCCGGUGACAAACCGGAGGAAGGUGGGGAUGACGUCAAGUCCUCAUGCCCCUUAUGUCCAGGGCUACACACGUGCUACAUUGGCCGGUACAGAGGGCAGCGAUACCGCGAGGUGGAGCGAAUCCCUCAAAGCCGGUCUCAGUUCGGAUUGCAGGCUGAAACUCGCCUGCAUGAAGGCGGAGUUGCUAGUAAUCGCAGAUCAGCAAUGCUGCGGUGAAUACGUUCCCGGGCCUUGUACACACCGGUAC
rnacentral:rRNA from 1 species